rnacentral:rRNA from 1 species
GUAUCAUGGCUCAGGAUGAACGCUAGCUACAGGCUUAACACACGCAAGUCGAGGGGCAUCAGGAAGAAAGCUUGCUUUCUUUGCUGGCGACCGGCGCACGGGUGAGUAACACGUAUCCAACCUACCCUUUACUCGGGGAUAGCCUUUCGAAAGAAAGAUUAAUACCCGAUGGCAUAAUGAUUCCGCAUGGUUUCAUUAUUAAAGGAUUCCGGUUAAAGGAUGGGGAUGCGUUCCAUUAGGUUGUUGGUGAGGUAACGG